GAUUGAGGAUGGGAAGGAAGACAAACUCGGUCCUCGCCCUUAGCUGCUGCUUUUCCUUCUAUUCCAGCUCCUCUCACUACCAGAAGACCAAUCCCAACGACCGUACCUUGGCCUUGGUGGAAGGCCAAUGGAACCAGGAAAGUACACUGGAAAGUGGCUCUUUCGUCUCUCCGGAUAAACGAAAUAAGUCUUACCUGGCUUCCAUAACCAUAUCGUCAACGGGUUUUCUCGUGUUCUUGAUGCCCCAAAGUCCACCGGUGGAUCGCUUGCCCAAUCCUUUCACGGCAAACGUCUGAGGUAAGGUCACGUCCCCGGGAUUGGUUGGCUCACUGGACACGUCCUCGGGAGGGUUGAGUGAGGGCACAUUUUUGGCUUUAUUCCCGCUCUUGGAUGAUUUAUGCACUUUCAACUUGGACAAGUGCUGCGUUACGGGCACACUCGUGGUCUUGGGAUUAUCUGUCAGGAUCGGCAUGUUCUCCUUUACCAGCCCCGUGGAUGAGAAAUGUGUCUCCGACGAGUUAUCCGGUGCGACUGAGGAGCCCUUCUUUGAAACACUCAUGAUGGCUCGCGCUUCAGUU